rnacentral:lncRNA from 1 species
GUAUGUGCAAAAAUGUUUUGUUGUUUUUUUUAGAGCAGUUACAGCAAAGUGAAUGUUUCAAAGAAGUUUACCUGCUUGUGCCACUAGUUAUAACACCAUGAUUGAUAUGAGAUUGUACUAACAUGCAAUAUGAAUUUCUAAUCUAUGUAUGCCUGCCUUGGAUUAAAACUUAAUCACUCUUCAAAAAGAAGGAUCCACAUUAAAUCCUUGUAUAAACACUUUCAAUUCCUUAUUGACCUCCUCCCAAGACUUUGUUGUGCACAACUGUCAUACAGCUGAACACUGUUGUCCCUGGAUUACCUCGCUGCUUUGAUCUGUCACUGACGGAAAAGUGUCAUGGCAAAUAAAACUUAUUAGGACCUCCA